GCUAAAACAGCUUGUAUAAGAGCCAAAUAAAACAAUACAAAGAAGAUUAGCUCAGCUCUGCGCAAGGAUGACAUGCACAAAUAUUAAUUACAUAAGGUAAUU
rfam:Populus trichocarpa isolate Nisqually-1 chromosome 18, whole genome shotgun sequence.